rnacentral:rRNA from 1 species
AAUCAACGCUGGCGGCGUGCCUAACACAUGCAAGUCGAACGCGAAAGCCCCGCAAGGGGUAAGUAGAGUGGCGCACGGGUGAGUAACACGUGGAUAACCUGCCUUAGAGUGGGGACUAACCUUCCGAAAGGGGAGCUAAUACCGCAUAACACCUUUCGACAAAAGUAAAAGGGUUAAAAGGAGCAAUUCGCUCGAAGAGGGGUCCGCGCCUGAUUAGCUAGUUGGUGAGGUAACGGCUCACCAAGGCUUCGAUCAGUAGCCGUCCUGAGAGGGAGCACGGCCACACUGGAACUGAGACACGGUCCAGACUCCUACGGGAGGCAGCAGUGGGGAAUUUUUGGCAAUGGGCGAAAGCCUGACCAAGCAACGCCGCGUGGGUGAUGAAGUAUCUUGGUACGUAAAACCCUUUCGGCAGGGACGAACUCAAUGACGGUACCUGCGGAAGAAGCCCCGGCUAACUCCGUGCCAGCCGCCGCGGUAAUAC